rnacentral:rRNA from 1 species
AGCGAACGCUGGCGGCAGGCUUAACACAUGCAAGUCGAGCGGGCACCUUCGGGUGUCAGCGGCAGACGGGUGAGUAACACGUGGGAACGUACCCUUCGGUUCGGAAUAACGCUGGGAAACUAGCGCUAAUACCGGAUACGCCCUUAUGGGGAAAGGUUUACUGCCGAAGGAUCGGCCCGCGUCUGAUUAGCUAGUUGGUGGGGUAACGGCCUACCAAGGCGACGAUCAGUAGCUGGUCUGAGAGGAUGAUCAGCCACACUGGGACUGAGACACGGCCCAGACUCCUACGGGAGGCAGCAGUGGGGAAUAUUGGACAAUGGGCGCAAGCCUGAUCCAGCCAGGCCGCGUGAGUGAUGAAGGCCUUAGGGUUGUAAAGCUCUUUUGUCCGGGACGAUAAUGACGGUACCGGAAGAAUAAGCCCCGGCUAACUUCGUG